CUUUUACUGCGAAAAGGGCUUGGAGAGUUAAGCAAGUCCAUGUUCUAGAGGUGGCGUAAGGCUGCCCCUUUUAUAUACUUGCCUAUAGUUAUAAAUAUUAUAAUCUCUAUUGUAAGUAGAUUUUCUAUUUUACUAGUAUAUUAGAAUGUUGCAUACAACUAUAGAAUUCGUCUGAUAAGUCCGUUCUCUAAGGUGGAAACACUGUAUAAAACAGCAUACACCAAAACUCAAUGAACUAAAAGAUUUUAUUAAUUGAAGGAAAAGAAACCAACCGGGAUUGCGCUAGUAGUACAGAGCGAAGGCGCAAAAGCUUAAAUAAUUUUUUGUUUACCAGUCGAACUUAAGUGGAAUCCGGACCAAAGAAAGUUAUAGUCUUGUAGAUUGUAAACAAAAAAAGUGCUGCGAUUAAAUUAAUCUUUAUUUGUGCACAUAUUAGUACUUAUUGCUUAAAACCUACUUUAUAUAAAUAAUACGCGUUAUUUAUAUACAGUUUAAAUCGGAGUAAAUAAGCGAGUUAGUGGUUUUACACUGCUAAAUAAUUGACGGAUACCACUCUGUUGGCUAAAUACUCUAUGUAGAUCGAUAGUGAAUCAGUACUGUAAAGGAAUUAGGAAACAAGAAUGCCAUUGCUUCUCUGAAUACAAGUCCCGAAACAGGUUGCUUAUAAUGACUUUCAGUUUGGCAGCUAUAAUGUUGAAUAGAAAGGUUCCUUUUGAAUCAUGAGCUGAUGACUUUGUGUUGGUUUAAGGCAUAUUAUUAAUCGUGUGUUUAAUAUAAGUGGCUUAAUUUAUUAAAAGUAAGCUUAUUAUGAAAAUAAUCAUAAAAAACUAACACAAGACGCGAAACGAAGUGAGCUUAGGUAGACCAGGGGGAAGGUUGCCGGAAGGUAGUUGGACGCCCGAAGUGGUAUGCGUUGCAACGCAUUCAUAUGAGUUUACUUAAGUGGCGAAAUACCAAUCGAACUUCGAAAUAUCUCGUUUUUUGCGAAACCUUUUUAGGAAGGGGGCCUGCAGAAUAAAUGCUAACUAGGUAGAGCGCUGUAAAACUGAUGGGAAGGAAACUUUUACUGAGGUGUUGCAAACCACAAAUUAGGGGCAUUUUGCCAGGUACUCAGUCAGUGCGGGACAAGCUGCAUUUGACAAGAAGGAAACAGCCUAGACUAUUAAUUAAGGCCCGUAAAUAGCGCUAAGUGAGAAAGUAAUUAACUUCACAAAAAUUAGUAGGACGUUUGAUUAGCAGCAUCUACCGUUUAAAGAAAGCGUAAUAGCUCACUACUAUAGUUUAGUUGUUGCGAAAAUUUAGCCGGACUAAGCGCUAUGCCGAAAUUAUAGCUAACUUUAUUUUGUUAUAUUUUCCCUUUUAAAAAGGAUUUACUUUUUAAAAGGGAAAAUAUAGCAAUAAAGCCAGUUAGAGUAGCAAAACGAACCAUGUUGAUAAAAUUAUGUCGGUAAGACUUAAUGAAAAUAUUGGUUGUGAAUAUAUCAGCUAGAGUAACACAUAAAUUGAGAUGUUUUAAUUAAUGCAGCUUUGUAUUUAUUGGUUAAUUACUUGAAUUUAUACAAAGAUGUAUUAAUUCAGAACAGUAUCCCAAUGAUCGGAAAUCCUGGGUUUUCUACACAACUAUUAAAGAUGUAGUUAAAAAUACGGUCCCUAAGUAUUAUAAAGAUUACGAUGGGUACUUGCUGUGACCAACAAAACCUUAUAAAUAGGUCUGUUGCAGGAAACAGUAGCAAGAAAUUACGUGCAUAAUAUUUGUUUUACGCGUACUAUAAGCACCGUACUAAAACUGACUCUGGUGGAUUGGUAGACUUUACUAAGAUUUGGUUAUAAUCGCUCGUAAGGAACUCGGCAAAUUGCGCUGGUACUUUCGAAAACAGCGGUCUAAAAGUGGUGUUUUAGAUCUCAGAUAAGAAAACUGGGUGACAGUUUACUAAAAACGAUGUUGCCUCAGGUCAUCCUAGAGCUGCACAAGGUUCUAAGGGCGCAACUGUUCUUUGCAUAAUGACCUACGUGAGGUGAGUUUAAACCGCCGUAAGGCAGGUUUGGUUCUAUCUAGACAGCCAGAAUAUUUAACCAAGCACUAGAAUUCCACUGUACGAAAGGACCCGGAAUUCCACGCCAAUGGUUUAGCAAUUGUUUUGAAAAAAGCAUUGUUGCAACGCUAAGCGUGAAAUGUUAAUUGCUGAAAAACUAUCAAGCAAGAAACAAUUGUAAAGGUUAUAGUAGAUCGCAUUUGCGUGAAUAGGCGCGGGGUGUAAGCUUUGUAACAUGCUGAGCUACCGCGUACUAAUUACUUUU
rnacentral:rRNA from 1 species